rnacentral:rRNA from 1 species
UACAGAGGGGGCAAGCGUUGUUCGGAAUUACUGGGCGUAAAGGGUGCGUAGGCGGGUUGGUAAGUCCGUGGUGAAAUCCCCAAGCUUAACUUGGGAACUGCCGUGGAUACUAUCAAUCUUGAAUAUCGUGGAGGUAAGCGGAAUAUGUCAUGUAGCGGUGAAAUGCUUAGAUAUGACAUAGAACACCAAUUGCGUAGGCAGCUUACUACACGAUCAUUGACGCUGAGGCACGAAAGCGUGGGGAGCAAACAGG